GUUGUGCCCUUGAGGCGUGGCUUCCGGAGCUAACGCGUUAAGUAGACCGCCUGGGGAGUACGGCCGCAAGGUUAAAACUCAAAUGAAUUGACGGGGGCCCGCACAAGCGGUGGAGCAUGUGGUUUAAUUCGAUGCAACGCGAAGAACCUUACCUGGUCUUGACAUCCACAGAACUUUCCAGAGAUGGAUUGGUGCCUUCGGGAACUGUGAGACAGGUGCUGCAUGGCUGUCGUCAGCUCGUGUUGUGAAAUGUUGGGUUAAGUCCCGCAACGAGCGCAACCCUUAUCCUUUGUUGCCAGCGGUCCGGCCGGGAACUCAAAGGAGACUGCCAGUGAUAAACUGGAGGAAGGUGGGGAUGACGUCAAGUCAUCAUGGCCCUUACGACCAGGGCUACACACGUGCUACAAUGGCGCAUACAAAGAGAAGCGACCUCGCGAGAGCAAGCGGACCUCAUAAAGUGCGUCGUAGUCCGGAUUGGAGUCUGCAACUCGACUCCAUGAAGUCGGAAUCGCUAGUAAUCGUGGAUCAGAAUGCCACGGUGAAUACGUUCCCGGGCCUUGUACACACCGCCCGUCACACCAUGGGAGUGGGUUGCAAAAGAAGUAGGUAGCUUAACCUUCGGGAGGGCGCUUACCACUUUGUGAUUCAUGACUGGGGUGAAGUCGUAACAAGGUAACCGUAGGGGAACCUGC
rnacentral:rRNA from 1 species